rnacentral:tRNA from 1 species
CUGCCUUUAGUUUAUUUUUAGAAUGGGAGCUUGUCGUGCUUCAGGAGGAUUUUUCAAGGCGGG